rnacentral:rRNA from 1 species
GAUGAACGCUGGCGGCGUGCCUAAUACAUGCAAGUCGAGCGAACAGACGAGGAGCUUGCUCCUCUGACGUUAGCGGCGGACGGGUGAGUAACACGUGGAUAACCUACCUAUAAGACUGGGAUAACUUCGGGAAACCGGAGCUAAUACCGGAUAAUAUAUUGAACCGCAUGGUUCAAUAGUUAAAGACGGUUUUGCUGUCACUUAUAGAUGGAUCCGCGCCGCAUUAGCUAGUUGGUAAGGUAACGGCUUACCAAGGCAACGAUGCGUAGCCGACCUGAGAGGGUGAUCGGCCACACUGGAACUGAGACACGGUCCAGACUCCUACGGGAGGCAGCAGUAGGGAAUCUUCCGCAAUGGGCGAAAGCCUGACGGAGCAACGCCGCGUGAGUGAUGAAGGUCUUCGGAUCGUAAAACUCUGUUAUUAGGGAAGAACAAAUGUGUAAGUACCUAUGCACGUCUUGACGGUACCUAAUCAGAAAGCCACGGCUAACUACGUG